rnacentral:rRNA from 1 species
UACGGAGGGUGCAAGCGUUAUCCGGAUUCACUGGGUUUAAAGGGUGCGUAGGCGGGGAUAUAAGUCAGUGGUGAAAGCUCCGGGCUUAACUUGGAAACUGCCAUUGAUACUGUAUAUCUUGAAUGUCGUUGAGGUUAGCGGAAUGUUGCAUGUAGCGGUGAAAUGCUUAGAUAUGUUACAGAACACCAAUUGUGAAGACAGCUAACUAAGCGAUGAUUGACGCUGAGGCACGAAAGCGUGGGGAGCAAACAGG